CCUACGGGAGGCUGCAGUGAGGAAUAUUGGUCAAUGGACGAGAGUCUGAACCAGCCAAGUAGCGUGAAGGAUGACUGCCCUAUGGGUUGUAAACUUCUUUUAUAUGGGAAUAAAACGUUCCACGUGUGGGAUUUUGUAUGUACCAUAUGAAUAAGGAUCGGCUAACUCCGUGCCAGCAGCCGCGGUAAUACGGAGGAGCCGAGCGUUAUCCGGAUUUAUUGGGUUUAAAGGGAGCGUAGGUGGAUUGUUAAGUCAGUUGUGAAAGUUUGCGGCUCAACCGUAAAAUUGCAGUUGAAACUGGCAGUCUUGAGUACAGUAGAGGUGGGCGGAAUUCGUGGUGUAGCGGUGAAAUGCUUAGAUAUCACGAAGAACCCCGAUUGCGAAGGCAGUUCACUGGACUGCAACUGACACUGAGGCUCGAAAGUGUGGGUAUCAAACAGGAUUAGAUACCCUGGUAGUC
rnacentral:rRNA from 1 species